GCGGCGUGCCUAACACAUGCAAGUCGAACGAAGCGCUUGAAUGGAUUUCUUCGGAUUGAAGCUCGAGUGACUGAGUGGCGGACGGGUGAGUAACGCGUGGGUAACCUGCCUCAUACAGGGGGAUAACAGUUAGAAAUGGCUGCUAAUACCGCAUAAGCACACAGCAUCGCAUGAAGCAGUGUGAAAAACUCCGGUGGUGUGAGAUGGACCCGCGUCUGAUUAGCUAGUUGGUGGGGUAACGGCCUACCAAGGCGACGAUCAGUAGCCGACCUGAGAGGGUGACCGGCCACAUUGGGACUGAGACACGGCCCAAACUCCUACGGGAGGCAGCAGUGGGGAAUAUUGCACAAUGGGGGAAACCCUGAUGCAGCGACGCCGCGUGAGCGAAGAAGUUUUUCGGUAUGUAAAGCUCUAUCAGCAGGGAAGAAAAUGACGGUACCUGACUAAGAGGCCCCGGCUAACUACGUGCCAGCAGCCGCGGUAAUACGUAGGGGGCAAGCGUUAUCCGGAUUUACUGGGUGUAAAGGGAGCGUAGACGGAUGUGCAAGUCUGAAGUGAAAGCCCGGGGCUCAACCCCGGGACUGCUUUGGAAACUGUGUAUCUAGAGUGCCGGAGAGGUAAGCGGAAUUCCCAGUGUAGCGGUGAAAUGCGUAGAUAUUGGGAGGAACACCAGUGGCGAAGGCGGCUUACUGGACGGUAACUGACGUUGAGGCUCGAAAGCGUGGGGAGCAAACAGGAUUAGAUACCCUGGUAGUCCACGCCGUAAACGAUGACUACUAGGUGUCGGGGUCGCAAGACUUCGGUGCCGGAGUUAACGCAUUAAGUGCUCCGCCUGGGGAGUACGCACGCAAGUGUGAAACUCAAAGGAAUUGACGGGGACCCGCACAAGCAGCGGAGCAUGUGGUUUAAUUCGAAGCAACGCGAAGAACCUUACCAGGACUUGACAUCCCUCUGACCGGUCCUUAACCGGACCUUUCUUCGGACAGAGGAGACAGGUGGUGCAUGGUUGUCGUCAGCUCGUGUCGUGAGAUGUUGGGUUAAGUCCCGCAACGAGCGCAACCCUUGCUGUUAGUUGCCAUCAUUCAGUUGGGCACUCUAACGGGACUGCCGGGGACAACUCGGAGGAAGGUGGGGAUGACGUCAAAUCAUCAUGCCCCUUAUGUUCUGGGCUACACACGUGCUACAAUGGCCGGUACAGAAAGCAGCGAAGUCGCGAGGCGGAGCAAAUCUCGAAAACCGGUCCCAGUUCGGACUGCAGGCUGCAACUCGCCUGCACGAAGCCGGAGUUGCUAGUAAUCGCGGAUCAGAAUGCCGCGGUGAAUGCGUUCCCGGGUCUUGCACACACGGCCCGUCA
rnacentral:rRNA from 1 species